rnacentral:rRNA from 1 species
UACAGAGGUCCCAAGCGUUGUUCGGAUUCACUGGGCGUAAAGGGUGCGUAGGUGGCCAGGUAAGUUCGGUGUGAAAUCUCUGAGCUCAACUCAGAAAUGGCACUGAAAACUAUCUGGCUAGAGGGUCGGAGGGGAGACUGGAAUUCUCGGUGUAGCAGUGAAAUGCGUAGAUAUCGAGAGGAACACCGGUGGCGAAGGCGAGUCUCUGGACGACUCCUGACACUGAGGCACGAAAGCUAGGGGAGCAAACAGG